rnacentral:rRNA from 1 species
GAGUAACGCGUGAGUAACCUGCCUUUCAGAGGGGGAUAACGUUCUGAAAAGAACGCUAAUACCGCAUGAGACUACAGAGCUGCGUGGCUCAGUGGUCAAAGGAGCAAUCCGCUGAAAGAUGGACUCGCGUCCGAUUAGAUAGUAGGCGGGGUAACGGCCCACCUAGUCGACGAUCGGUAGCCGGACUGAGAGGUUGAACGGCCACAUUGGGACUGAGACACGGCCCAGACUCCUACGGGAGGCAGCAUG